rnacentral:rRNA from 1 species
GAUGAAUGCUGGCGGCGUGCUUAACACAUGCAAGUCGAACGAUGAAGCCCAGCUUGCUGGGUGGAUUAGUGGCGAACGGGUGAGUAACACGUGAGUAACCUGCCCUUAACUCUGGGAUAAGCCUGGGAAACUGGGUCUAUUACCGGAUAGGAGCGUCCACCGCAUGGUGGGUGUUGGAAAGAUUUAUCGGUUUUGGAUGGACUCGCGGCCUAUCAGCUUGUUGUUGAGGUAAUGGCUCACCAAGGCGACGACGGGUAGCCGGCCUGAGAGGGUGACCGGCCACACUGGGACUGAGACACGGCCCAGACUCCUACGGGAGGCAGCAGUGGGGAAUAUUGCACGAUGGGCGCAAGCCUGAUGCAGCGACGCCGCGUGAGGGAUGACGGCCUUCGGGUUGUAAACCUCUUUCAGUAGGGAAGAAGCGAAAGUGACGGUACCUGCAGAAGAAGCACCGGCUAACUACGUG